UACGAAGGGGGCGAGCGUUGUUCGGAGUUACUGGGCGUAAAGGGCGCGUAGGCGGCGCUCCAAGUUAGGCGUGAAAGCCCCGGGCUCAACCUGGGAAUUGCGCUUAAGACUGGAGUGCUCGAGUGCGGAAGAGGUGAGUGGAAUUCCCAGUGUAGAGGUGAAAUUCGUAGAUAUUGGGAAGAACACCGAUGGCGAAGGCAGCCAUCUGGACCGACACUGACGCUGAGGCGCGAAAGCGUGGGGAGCAAACAGG
rnacentral:rRNA from 1 species